rnacentral:misc_RNA from 1 species
UCCGGUUUGUCACCGGCAGUCUCCUAUGAGUCCCCGACAUUACUCGCUGGCAACAUAGGACAGGGGUUGCGCUCGUCGCGGGACUUAACCCAACAUCUCACGGCACGAGCUGACGACAGCCAUGCAGCACCUGUGUCCGCGUUCCCCUUGCGGGGCACACGCUGGUUUCCCACCGCUUCGCGGCAUGUCAAACCCAGGUAAGGUUCUUCGCGUAGCAUCGAAUUGAACCACAUGCUCCACCGCUUGUGCGGGCCCCCGUCAAUUCCUUUGAGUUUCAGCCUUGCGGCCGUACUCCCCAGGCGGGGCACUUAAUGCGUUAGCGCCGGCACGGGGGGAGUCGACACCCCCCACACCUAGUGCCCAUCGUUUACGGCGUGGACUAC